UACGUAGGGUGCAAGCGUUAAUCGGAAUUACUGGGCGUAAAGCGUGCGCAGGCGGCUUUGCAAGACAGAUGUGAAAUCCCCGGGCUUAACCUGGGAACUGCAUUUGUGACUGCAUGGCUGGAGUGCGGCAGAGGGGGAUGGAAUUCCGCGUGUAGCAGUGAAAUGCGUAGAUAUGCGGAGGAACACCGAUGGCGAAGGCAAUCCCCUGGGCCUGCACUGACGCUGAGAAGCGAAAGCAUGGGGAGCGAACAGG
rnacentral:rRNA from 1 species